rnacentral:misc_RNA from 1 species
UCCGGUUUGUCACCGGCAGUCUCAUUAGAGUGCCCAACUGAAUGUAGCAACUAAUGACAAGGGUUGCGUUCGUUGCGGGACUUAACCCAACAUCUCACGACACGAGCUGACGACAGCCAUGCACCACCUGUGCACUGGUCCCGAAGGAGGGCCGUAUUUCUACGGAUUUCCAGUGCAUGUCAAGCCCUGGUAAGGUUCUUCGCGUUGCAUCGAAUUAAACCACAUGCUCCGCUGCUUGUGCGGGGCCCCGUCAAUUCCUUUGAGUUUCAACCUUGCGGUCGUACUCCCCAGGUGGCUAACUUAACGGUUUCCCUUGGACGCACAACCUCUAGGGCCAUACGUCGAGUUAGCAUCGUUUAGGGCGUGGACUAC